GCGCGCAGGCGCAGAUAUAAAAGGGAGAGGUCCGCUCUGCCGCUGCUUGUUACAGAACGCUAUCUUGUAUAAUCCGUUUCGUUUUGUUUGUAGCGUUUAUCAGAAUGUUUAUUUUCCUGUUUUAUAUUCCAUCCUUGACAUGUAUGCGAAGAGUGCGAACUAUCCACAAGGAUUACCAGUUCUGUCCUUUGGGUGUUUUCUUCUCGCCCAAUCACACCAACCCGUCACACCAACUCAUUCCGUUUUCCAGGACAGUUUUGUUCAACAAAUUCUGCUGCAAAGAUGUUAGACCCUCCAUAGGAUAACAAGCAGGCUUGUUGUGCUCCUGAAAAUUAUGAAAGAAAACUAAAAAUGUAAAACUAUGCCAUCCACAUUAAUUCUGCAAGAAUCAGAUAAAUUCAAAUUUCUUUCCGAAAUAUUUCUGCCCUUUCGAAAUCGGAUAGCCUACAGUGUAAGAUUGCAUUCGUUUGAAACAUUACUGAGAUUGUCCUACCUGCCCCUGGAAAUAUUCACAACAAUGGCUUCACCGAGAGGUCACCAUCGGCGCGGAAGCAUGGAUGAACCAGUUUUCAUGUCAGCUGAUAUUAUUCAUCUUGAAGAGGAAUUGAAUAGACCUCAAAAGGACAUUUUCCCAGAAUGCAAAAAGCAUUUGGAGAAAGUUCGUGAUCUCGUGAAUGAGUCUGCAAAUGAUCAUGGCCUUGCUAUUUAUGCAUGCAGAGGAGUAGCAAUAACUUUAGGAAUCGCGAUUGUGUUGUUGGGAUUACCUUUUUAUUUAAUUGAUGAAGAGGUUUUUGAUAUUGUUGCUGCAGGAGGGGCAGCUGCGGCUGUAGUUACUCUAUUAUGUGCUGCUUUUAGACGAAACAGGGAAACACAUCAGAAGAAGAACUUAAAACGAUCUAUCGAAGAGGAAUUUAAGGGAUUUCAGGAUAAAAUGAACCUUAUUAUUGACAUAUUGGAAAAAAACAGUCAACGCACUGAGGAAAUAUUGAGAGACCCUUCACUAUCAGACCACAUUGCCCAGGCAUUAAGUGAACAUUUUGCCUACUGCUUUGAAAAGAGGCACGUCUUCCAGGAACAUGACAGGAGUAAAGUGGGUGACCAGAUGUCUAAAAUUGUGCAUUUGUCUGGAAACAUUUCAGAAAUGAUCGCCAAGAUUAGUUCUGUGCCUGAUAUCCUCAAAGAGAUUAUCGAAGACAACAAGAAGCACCGUGGAAAACCUGCAAAACCCAGACAAGAACUAAUAAAUAAAAGAGAGUUUAAGGAGAAAGUAGAUAAAUUCAUUAAUGAUAUGCAGAAAGGAAUAUGUAUGAUAAAAAAUAGAGUGAAAGAUAUCAACCAAUCAAUAGACAGUAUAUCAGAUAUUUUGAGUUGAACCUGACAAAAUUAAAAAGUAUGAACUGCUGAGACAGAACUUGUUCUUGGAUCCACCUGACAGAGAACAACACAAACAGUGACCGAUAUUACAUUGGCAGUGUUGAAUAAUUUCAGUGUUUCAUUGUCCUACAACAAUUAAUGUUAACAUUGUCAAAAGUUAG
ensembl:lncRNA